AGGGCAGUAUUUGACUUGAUGUAAAUGCACAUUCCUUAAUGUGUUUUUGCCUCUUAUAACUGCUUUUUCACAUCUUUACAUGCUUCAUUGUGGAGCGGAGGUCUUUCUACCGGUCAAGUAUCAUUGCCUUGUCACAGGUCAUUCACCAGUGGCUCCAGUCUGGUUUGGGGGUCUACUCUUUCUCAUCCUGGCCUGCCAGCCAAGUAAAAAGAGAAAUAACUACAGACCUCUGCAACUGCUGAUACCGGUUCAGGAUGAAUUGCAGGUAAAUCUCAACAUAUAAAAUGCUUUUGUCAGCUUUGAUAAAUACCUCAUUUCUAAUACCCCCAAAUGCUGGACUGUGUAACUAACAAGUAGUUGUGUCUGGGAACUGCUUUUCUGAUGCCUUUUUUGUAUUUU